GCGGUGGAUUUUCUUGAAAUACUUCAUGCGACGCGCGGGUGUCGCAUGACACAUUUCAGAAUAUUUCAAAUGAAACAUUUCUCUGCUGAAAUUCCACCAAAACAUUGACCAGGCUCACCACACAAAAACCUGGGUGCAGCAGCUCACCAAAGCGGUAGAUUUUUGACAGCUGUUUGUUUUGUUGUAUUUUGGUGGUCGGUCGCCUUUCCAUCUUCGCCGCCAGCUUGGAAUUCUCGCCCAACCUGCCGGAAAUGCUGAUCGCGUACGGUCUCAAGUUCGAGCAGCCCAAGAAGGAAUCGUUGAGGGGUAAGAAGCAGGUCGUGAUUGUGCGCGAACCGGCCGCCUCGUCCCAGCGCAAGGAGCAGGAAGAGUUGCAGCUCAAGACGCGAAGUCCAACGGCGGACAGUCAAGACGGCGGAGAUUUCGAUGGAGGACUUGACGCUAACGGGGGUUGCAGGGGACGGGAAAAAGUCUUCCGAGACUUCACAGCAAGGACGCGGAAAUUCAGCGCAGCGUGUUCAGCAGGAACGAGCCGGAUCUGAUUCAGCGGGCCGCAUUCCGGAGCAAUAUAUUUCGGCGCUGCUGGUGGAGAUUUCACGCAGAUGCAGCAGAAAACUGUGCAUGUCGCAACGGCCGUUUGCUGGCUCAAGGCCCUCAUUCGCAGUCACACGAGCCAGCUGAUAGCGCUGGGCUCGGAGAAUCUGCUGGCCAGCAUCUUCAGUCUGGGCAUCAUCGAGUAUCGGGUGCAGCAUGCCAACUCGGUGUCCAAGUAGGUGUUUGUUCGAGCCAAAGUCGAUCCGGUUGUAGCUGACCUGAGUAAGCAGUUCUAGCGCCGGCCCGCAUUCUACCUACUACAACUACUGACUGAGAGGUGGCUUCAAAUGUCGUCCUGUCGAAGAUCAUCCUCAAAGGAAACCGGUUCCAAGGUUGUCGGCCGCCUUCCCAUCUUCGCCGCCAGCUUGGAAUUCUCACCCAACCUGGUGGAAGUGGCCGCCUCGUUCCAGCGCAAGGAGCAGGAAGAGUUGCAGCUCAAGAAACGAACGCCGACGGUGGACAGCGCGUCGGUGGAAUUUUUGAACCCGUUCAAUGCAGGCAAGAAGGCACUCAAGACGGUGGAGAUUCCGAUGGAGGACCGGCUGGAGAGGGGGAAGUCUUCCGGGAUGAGUCAGAAGAAUAUGGCCCAUUUGCUUGACGCAGAAAUUCGGCGCAGCGUGUUCAGCAUGAACGGGCAGGAGCUGAUUCAGCAGACAGCAUUUCGGUGCUGCCGGGGGAGAUUUCCAUGCUGAUGAAGCAGGACAGUGUGCAUAAGUUUUUAAUUUUGUUCGCUUGAAAAGAUGCCGCCAUACAGGAAAACUUCGGUUUUGUUAACAGUGUCGUAACGGCUGUUUGCUGGCUCAAGGCCCUCAUCCACAGUCACACGAGCCAGCUGAUGACGCUGGGCUCGGAGAAUCUGCUGGCCAACUUCAGCUCCUGUUUGGCCAUCAUCGAGUACCGGGUGCAGCAUGACAACUCGCUGUCCAAGUAGGUGUUUGUUCGAGCCAAAAUCGAUCCGGUUGUUCCUGUAGUUGUCUGUUCCUCGCAAAAUUUGCUUGGCGACCGGUGUUGUGCGGUCAUCCACUUGUCCAGGAAUGGCUCCAGUUGCACGUCAACCCUCCGUGGCCGCUGUCUUCAGGCUCAUUCUUGGUCGAUUCGAUGACGUUUCCAACUUCUGUCCAGCUUGGAAUCCAAUGUGUCUACUGAACAGUAGAUUUACGGAAUGUCGAAUCGGCCAUGCACGAUUGAACAAUAAAAAGAUGGAGCAGAACAUCUACAAGAUCAACAAGGUGGGCUGAUUGAUACAGCACAACUAAAUGGCGGCGAUCAUGAAAAUUGUUCUUGUGCCGGGCCGCUUCCAGGUCAAGUUGCUCACGGAACAAACACUUCAUCAGCGCUACCCGCCAGGCAACUCAGUGCUGAUUUCGCUUGACGCCAACGCCAGCGGACCAAUACUCAUCCGGAAGAUACUUCGCCUUCGUUAGACCGAACUGGUCAAGCAGGAGUAAUAAUUUGAGCACCGGCUCUAGGGGCGUGUUACAUUAAAAAAUAAUUGAAAUGUUCAUCUGCGCUGCUUUAUACAUUACUAUUACAGUUAUUCUACUAUCAAAAUGUGCAAAAACAACAAUGAAUUCAUGAAAAAAAAAUCCCAAAACUGUUACGCCUACCACCGAUCUGUAGUUCAAAAAUUCAAAAUUCGUUAACUGCCCAAAAGCGAAAAAAAUUAAAUUAAAUUUUGAGCUGUGUGUAAUUAUUUUUAUUGUCUCCAAUUAUGAUCUUCAACAAGCAUUGGAAAGAAGAACUAUUUGAAGUUUGACUUGUUUUAUUAGACUUUUCCAAUGUUUUUUAAAUGUAUUGAUUUUCAGGAGUUAUUUUUGACUUUUACAACCAUUUCCUAUAUUUUAAGCAAAAAUAAGUAUUUUUGUUGUGUUGUGUAGUUUUUACAAUUUAGGUUGAUACGGAGCUCGAAAGGAACGCAAGACUCCUUAUAAAAAAAACAAAAGCGGAAGGGUCACGAAAAGAUUUUUUUAAGCGAUAUACGCACUUCGGAAGGAACCGGUCAAGAAAAAAAUCAAAUGGGCAGCAGUGGUAGCGAAAGCAAGCCAGAGAGGGUGAAGAAAAGCCCCAAGAAAUCAUUCCCUCUCCUUUGUUCUGCUGUUCGUAAAGCUAUUUCUUGACCCCUUUCCUUCCGAUCUGCAUACUAGCCUUUAAGCAGUACAUACGCAGCUGAUAAAAAACAGAAACGGAAAAUGGCGUUUGACAUUCCUUUGUACUAUGCCUGUUUGCAAUAUGUUUUAAUUGAAAAAAAAAAUCAAAUAAUUUGAAUUUGCUUAUUUGAAUGCGAUUGAAAUUUACAAACGAAUGAAUAAUUUUGUAUUUGAUAUAAUAAUAAAUAUAAAAGCCAAAACUCAAAUGCAGUAUCUUGAUUAAAAGGAUGGAAAUUAAGUGAAUCAAAGGAAAAGUCCAAAUUUUCUGGUAGAUUUUUUCUUUAAAUUGAGUGGAUUACCAACUCUAAAAUUUGGCAACACAGAAAUAUGGGAACUCAGAAAUGGAAUAAGAAGUUCAAAAAUAAAAAUGCAUAUUUAAAAAAACCAUUAUUAUAAAUUAAAAAAAAUAAGAGUAAAUAAACAGUAACUAAAAAAAUUAAUAAAUCACAAAUUCAAAGCAUCAGACAUCUAAAUAAUCCAAAAUAUUAAAAUUUGUAAUUAUUUUACAAAUUCAAAAAUUUAAAAGUAAAAUAUCAAAAAUUAUAUAAAAACAAAAUGUCAAAAAUUUAAAAAUUUGAAAUUUCAAGAACAUCAAAAAAUCAAAUAUUUAACAAUUCUAUAAUUUAAAAAUUCUCAUCAACUAUAAUUCCAAAAAUAAUUCAAAUGUAAAAAUUUAGCAAAUCUUUUUUUUUAAAUCAUCAUCACAAUUCAAUUAUUUAACAAUUGAACAGUUGAAAAAUUCAUAUAAAUUAUAAUUCUUAACCCUCUAACGCCCAUGGUUACACCAGAGCACCACUAAUUUUUGCUUUCAAAAUUAAAUUUCUCUGCAACCAUACAUUUUUUCAACUUGGUUUGACAUACGUUAGUUUAUAUAGAAUGUUAACAUAUAACCGUUGAAAAUUCAUCCAGAUUGGCCGAUCCAGUUCCAAGUAAUGGCGAAAAACGUAAAAAAUCUCGAUUCAGCUCUGGGCGGGAAGGGGUUAAAUACAUAAACAAUUAAACAUUUGGAAAACAAAAAUAAGAAAAAAAACUUUGGAAGGGACCAUCCAUAAACCACGUGGACACUUUUUUUGGAAAUGUGGACAAAUUUUCAUACAAAAAAAAAUCAUUUUUGUAUUGAGCGUGAACAAUCGCCGAAACCGAAUUUAAGAA